GACGAACGCUGGCGGCGUGCUUAACACAUGCAAGUCGAACGGUGAACGAGGGAGCUUGCUCCCUCCGGAUCAGUGGCGAACGGGUGAGUAACACGUGAGCAAUCUGCCCCGAACUCUGGGAUAAGCGUUGGAAACGACGUCUAAUACCGGAUACGACGCGGGAGGGCAUCCUCUCCGCGUGGAAAGAACUUCGGUUCGGGAUGAGCUCGCGGCCUAUCAGCUUGUUGGUGAGGUAACGGCUCACCAAGGCGACGACGGGUAGCCGGCCUGAGAGGGUGACCGGCCACACUGGGACUGAGACACGGCCCAGACUCCUACGGGAGGCAGCAGUGGGGAAUAUUGCACAAUGGGUGCAAGCCUGAUGCAGCAACGCCGCGUGAGGGACGACGGCCUUCGGGUUGUAAACCUCUUUUAGCAGGGAAGAAGCGAAAGUGACGGUACCUGCAGAAAAAGCACCGGCUAACUACGUG
rnacentral:rRNA from 1 species